rnacentral:rRNA from 1 species
AACGAACGCUGGCGGCAUGCCUAACACAUGCAAGUCGAACGAGACCUUCGGGUCUAGUGGCGCACGGGUGCGUAACGCGUGGGAACCUGCCCUUAGGGUCGGAAUAACUCCCCGAAAGGGGUGCUAAUACCGGAUAAUGUCUUCGGACCAAAGAUUUAUCGCCUUUGGAUGGGCCCGCGUUGGAUUAGCUAGUUGGUAGGGUAAAAGCCUACCAAGGCGACGAUCCAUAGCUGGUCUCAGAGGAUGAUCAGCCACACUGGGACUGAGACACGGCCCAGACUCUUCCGGGAGGGACGAGUGCGGGACAUUGCAACGUGGGCGAAGGCCUGAUCCACCAAUGCUGGGUGAGCGAUGAAGGCCUUAGGGUUGUAAAGCUCUUUUACCCGGGAUGAUCUUGACAGUACCGGGAGAAUAAGCUCCGGCUAACUCCGUG